rnacentral:rRNA from 1 species
AUUGAACGCUGGCGGCAUGCCUUACACAUGCAAGUCGAACGGCAGCACGGGAGCAAUCCUGGUGGCGAGUGGCGAACGGGUGAGUAAAGUAUCGGAACGUGCCCAGUCGUGGGGGAUAACGUAGCGAAAGUUACGCUAAUACCGCAUACGAUCUAUGGAUGAAAGCGGGGGAUCGCAAGACCUCGCGCGAUUGGAGCGGCCGAUAUCAGAUUAGGUAGUUGGUGGGGUAAAGGCUCACCAAGCCGACGAUCUGUAGCUGGUCUGAGAGGACGACCAGCCACACUGGGACUGAGACACGGCCCAGACUCCUACGGGAGGCAGCAGUGGGGAAUUUUGGAGAAUGGGCGAAAGCCUGAUCCAGCCAUGCCGCGUGCAGGAUGAAGGCCUUCGGGUUGUAAACUGCUUUUGUACGGAACGAAAAGGUCUGGCCUAAUAAGCUGAGCUCAUGACGGUACCGUAAGAAUAAGCACCGGCUAACUACGUGCCAGCCGCCGCAGUAA